AGUAAAUAGAUACCCCGGUAGUCCACGCCGUAAACGAUGGGCACUAGGUGCUGGGGGGAGCGACCCCUUCAGUGCCGCAGCUAAACGCGAUAAAGUGCCCCGCCUGGGGAGUACGGCCGCAAGGCUGAAACUCAAAGGAAUUGACGGGGGCCCGGCACAAGCGGUGGAGCAUGUGGUUUAAAUUCGAAGCAACGCGAAGAACCUUACCUAGGUUUGACAUGUAGCUGAAAGCCUCUGGAAACAGGGGCCCUUCUUCGGAACAGCUACACAGGUGCUGCAUGGCUGUCGUCAGCUCGUGUCGUGAGAUGUUGGGUUAAGUCCCGCAACGAGCGCAACCCUUGCCCGUGUUACUAACAGGUAAAGCUGAGGACUCUCGGGGGACUGCCGGCGUCAAGCCGGAGGAAGGUGGGGACGACGUCAAGUCAUCAUGGCCCUUACGCCUAGGGCGACACACGUGCUACAAUGGCGAGGACAGAGGGCAGCGAAGCGGCAACGUGAAGCGAAUCCCAGAAACCUCGUCUAAGUUCGGAUUGUGGGCUGCAACUCGCCC
rnacentral:rRNA from 1 species